rnacentral:rRNA from 1 species
GGCGGAGCAUGCGGAUUAAUUCGAUGCAACGCGAAGAACCUUACCAAGGCUUGACAUAUAGAGGAAAAGCGUAGAAAUACGCUCCCCGCAAGGUCUCUAUACAGGUGGUGCAUGGUUGUCGUCAGCUCGUGUCGUGAGAUGUUGGGUUAAGUCCCGCAACGAGCGCAACCCUCGUCCUAUGUUGCCAGCACGUAAUGGUGGGAACUCAUGGGAUACUGCCGGGGUCAACUCGGAGGAAGGUGGGGAUGACGUCAAAUCAUCAUGCCCCUUAUGUCUUGGGCUUCACGCAUGCUACAAUGGCCGGUACAGAGGGCUGCAAUACCGCAAGGUGGAGCGAAUCCCAAAAAGCCGGUCUCAGUUCGGAUUGAGGUCUGCAACUCGACCUCAUGAAGUUGGAGUCGCUAGUAAUCGUGGAUCAGCAACGCCACGGUGAAUACGUUCCCGGGCCUUGUACACACCGCCCGUCAAGUCAUGAAAGUCGGUAACACCCGAAGCCAGUGGCCCAACCGCAAGGGGGGAGCUGUCGAAGGUGGGAUCGGUGAUUAGGACU